rnacentral:rRNA from 1 species
AGAGUUUGAUCAUGGCUCAGAGCGAACGUUAGCGGCGGGCCUAACACAUGCAAGUCGUACGAGAAAGGGGCUUCGGCCCUGAGUAAAGUGGCGCACGGGUGAGUAACACGUGGGUAAUCUGCCCUUCGAUGGGGGAUAGCUACCCGAAAGGGUAAUUAAUACCGCAUACGUCGGUUGGGUCCUCGGACCUGGCCGGGAAAGCCGACCUCUCCAUGGAAGUUGGCGUCGAAGGAGGAACCCGCGUCCCAUCAGCUAGUUGGCGGGGUAAUGGCCCACCAAGGCUAAGACGGGUAGCUGGUCUGAGAGGAUGAUCAGCCACACUGGGACUGAGACACGGCCCAGACUCCUACGGGAGGCAGCAGUGGGGAAUAUUGGGCAAUGGGCGCAAGCCUGACCCAGCCACGCCGCGUGAGUGAUGAAGGCCUUCGGGUCGUAAAGCUCUGUGGGGAGAGACGAAAAAACGUUGGCUAAUAUCCAACGGCUUGACGGUAUCUCCUUAGCAAGCACCGGCUAACUCUGUGCCAGCAGCCGCGGUAAUACGUAGGGUGCAGGCGUUAAUCGGAAUUACUGGGCGUAAAGCGUGCGCAGGCGGUUUGUUAAGACAGGUGUGAAAUCCCCGGGCUUAACCUGGGAACUGCGCUUGUUACUGGCAGACUUGAGUGUGGCAGAGGGGGGUGGAAUUCCAGGUGUAGCAGUGAAA